AAUAUAGAUAAAGCUGUUUACCACCGCACUGGUCUGUGCUGAAUGGUGACUCGACAGAACCCCAGAGGCAUGGAGGUCUGGAUUUCCUCAUGGAUCUGUUUCCUGGCUCCUGACCCAGGUUUGGAACUGCUCUUGGACUUUGCCCUGUGGAUUAUGCCUCAGAAAACAUGUGUCAGCAUGUUCCUGAUCUGACCCAAUGUGAAGAAUAACAGAAAGCUUUGCAAAGGACACAUCACUGUUUAAUAU